AUGUCUGCUGGGUGAAGGCUGCUUCCUGAGAAGGAGGGCUCUGUUGCUAAAGACCUGCUUGCCAGUCAGGAAAAAGAGGUCUUAAAGCAUCCAGCCUCUCCCCUGUGUGUGGUACCUGAGCAGCGAUGAGCCGCCCUGUGCCUGCACUGCCAUCACCUGGGACAAAUCCAUCAUUGGAGAGGUCUGGGCAUCCCUGCAAUGUCCCAUUGGUGUCAGCGGUGGUGGAAGGAGAACUAGUCCCCUCUGCAAUGCUGGGGUGCCCAAUGCUGAAUUCCAUGGGUAUCAAGAGAGGAGAAACUGCCAGUUCUCAGGAGCAGUGGUGGUUGAUCAGCUGCCAACAGCUUGGGAGGAAAAUGAGCUGCCUGAGCUGUGAGAACUAUUUCUGGAGGUGAAGCCUGACACUGAGCUAGAUGCCAGCUCCAGUGAUGGAAUCAAAACAUUCCUGCUGCCCUCAGUGGGUUUAGUCAGGCUGUCAUGUCUGGAGAUGGAACAGCAAGGCACGGCACUGGUGGGUGAGCUAUGGCCAUUUCCCCAGUCUGUGGCUGGUCCUGGUGGUGCCUGCAGCGCUGGGGAAUGGGAUGUUGUUUGGCUUUGGUCUGGGGGUGGUCAGUGGGUCGGUUCUGCACUGCCCUGGGUGGUGCUCCACAAAGGCAGAGGUCUCACUGCAGUGCUGGGAGCGCAUCCACUGCCCUGCAUGGUGCUCCUGGGCAUGCGGGGCUCUGAGGUCUGGGCACUGGGAAACAACUCCUGGUAGAUCUGGCAUCAGUCUGCUCUGGGGAGAGAAAUCUGAGGCAGUUUUGGCAGCAGACUUCUUGCUAUUCAGCGUGCUAUUUUCUGCAGGAACUGAAAGCUGAAGGUGGCAGACAGGCACAGAGCCAGGCAGGAUGCAAAGUACAGGGUUUGAGGCUGGUGUGGAAUGAGAGGGCCCACUGCUGCCCUGGGAUCCCAGCAGUCUUCCUACAGGAAAUUCUGUGAGAACUUCCCUUGUAGAGCCGUGUAAAAUGCACAUUGGUGAUGCGCAAAUUUCUUUGUGCACAUUUAUGUGCAUCUUUCAUGCACGCACCCUCAAAUUGCUGUUAUUGAUUGUAAGCUUGUGGGCUGGCAGCUUACCUGCAUGCCUUAUCCUGCACAGGACAAGUGCUGCUGGGCCUGCGUGGAGCACGAGAGCCCGUGGUUGACCCUCUGAUACAACGUGAACAUUGAAUUUAAAACAUUUUUCCUUCUAGAGUGCUGCUGUAAGGUUGCAGGGCCACAUCAAAUUCUAUCUAUAUUUGUGGUUUUCUUCAUUCUUAGCAAGACAUGAUAAUGGAUAAAUGUUCUGGAAGCUCAGUCAAAAAGGCACUGUUCUCUCUUAUGUUAUAUGUGACUUAACAGGAGCUCCUGAGCAGCCCGUGAGGUUUCUCUUUGCUGAGAUCCAGCAGGUCAGUUUUGCUGCAGGUGCAAUUUGACUGGGCUUCUGGGAUCACUGCUUCAGCCUUACGUUGCUUAACGAACACAUAAAUAAUUACUUGUUAUUAGUGAACUGGAGCAGUGUGAUGGAGAGACUUAACAUUGAAAUCCCAUUGCCCGUCUCAGAGCUGCAGUUGGUGCAGCGGUGCCUUUGGAAAUGCUGCAUUCCCUCAGUGUUGAGCUUUGUGGUGGUAAAUGAUUCCCCUGCACAACAGCCCCAGGGAGUGACAGCCAUGGAGGAGGGAGAGGCUGCUCAUGCAGACAGCACUGGAAUGAUGGGAAGUCUGAAAUGCAAAGGAUGCAGUCUCGGAGCCUUCUCCUUGAGAUGAAAGCAGCCGGCAGAAUGAUGAGGCUGUUCUUUUUCUUCACAACUCACUUCUGUUGUCAGAAAGGAAAUGUGAUAAUAAAGCUUAGAUUCACUU
ensembl:lncRNA